CGCUGGCGGCGUGCCUAAUACAUGCAAGUCGUAACGGUCUUUCUAUGGAAGCUUGCUUCCACUGAGAAGAUAGUGGCGAACGGGUGAGUAACACGUGGGUAACCUGCCCAUAAGAGGGGGAUAACAUCCGGAAACGGGUGCUAAUACCGCAUAGUUUUCUUGAUCGCAUGAUUGAGAAAGGAAAGACGGCCUUUGUGCUGUCGCUUAUGGAUGGACCCGCGGCGUAUUAGUUAGUUGGUGAGGUAACGGCUCACCAAGACGAUGAUACGUAGCCGACCUGAGAGGGUGAUCGGCCACAUUGGGACUGAGACACGGCCCAAACUCCUACGGGAGGCAGCAGUAGGGAAUCUUCCGCAAUGGACGAAAGUCUGACGGAGCAACGCCGCGUGAGUGAAGAAAGGUUUUCGGAUCGUAAAACUCUGUUGUCAGAGAAGAACAAGUUGGAGAGUAACUGCUCCAGCCUUGACGGUAUCUGACCAGAAAGCCACGGCUAACUACGUGCCAGCCGCCGC
rnacentral:rRNA from 1 species